rfam:Dictyostelium discoideum AX4 chromosome 1 DDB0232444.02, whole genome shotgun sequence.
CCAAAGGUGUUUUUUAACACCACACAAAAAACCAAUUUCUUUUCA